rnacentral:rRNA from 1 species
UGGGGAAUUUUGGACAAUGGGCGAAAGCCUGAUCCAGCAAUGCCGCGUGUGCGAAGAAGGCCUUCGGGUUGUAAAGCACUUUUGUCCGGAAAGAAAUCCUUGGCUCUAAUACAGUCGGGGGAUGACGGUACCGGAAGAAUAAGCACCGGCUAACUACGUGCCAGCGGCCGCAGUAAUACGUAGGGUGCAAGCGUUAAUCGGAAUUACUGGGCGUAAAGCGUGCGCAGGCGGUUUGCUAAGACCGAUGUGAAAUCCCCGGGCUCAACCUGGGAACUGCAUUGGUGACUGGCAGGCUAGAGUAUGGCAGAGGGGGGUAGAAUUCCACGUGUAGCAGUGAAAUGCGUAGAGAUGUGGAGGAAUACCGAUGGCGAAGGCAGCCCCCUGGGCCAAUACUGACGCUCAUGCACGGAAGCGUGGGGAGCAAACAGGAUUAGAUACCCUGGUAGUCCACGCCCUAAACGAUGUCAACUAGUUGUGGGGAUUCAUUUCCUAGUAACGUAGCUAACGCGUGAAGUUGACCGCCUGGGGAGUACGGUCGCAAGAUUAAAACUCAAAGGAAUUGACGGGGUCAUAGCUGUUUCCU